rnacentral:rRNA from 1 species
GACAGAGGUGCCAAGCGUUAGGCGGAAUCACUGGGCUUAAAGCGUGUGUAGGCGGGUCGUUAAGUACCUUGUGAAAUCCCACGGCUCAACCGUGGAACUGCUGGGUAUACUGGCGAUCUUGAGCCACCUAGGGGCAGUCGGAACAAGUGGUGGAGCGGUGAAAUGCGUAGAUAUCACUUGGAACGCCAAUGGUGAAAACAGACUGCUGGGGGUGUGCUGACGCUGAGACACGAAAGCCAGGGGAGCAAACGGG